CCAUAGCGUAUAUUAAAGUUGUUGCAGUUAAAAAGCUCGUAGUUGGAUUUCUGAUCGAGACAUCAGGUCGGGUCCGAGAGGAUCAUGUACUUUGAUUUUGUUUUGAUCAUCCUUGGGGAGAGCAUUUCUGGCAUUCAGUUGUCGGGAUUGGGAUCCUCAUCGUUUACUGUGAAAAAAUUAGAGUGUUCAAAGCAGGCCUCGGCCUCUGAAUACAUUAGCAUGGAAUAAUAAGAUAGGACUUUGGUGGUCUAUUUUGUUGGUUUGCACGCCAAAGUAAUGAUUAAUAGGGAUAGUUGGGGGUAUUCGUAUUCAAUUGUCAGAGGUGAAAUUCUUGGAUUUAUGGAAGACGAACUACUGCGAAAGCAUUUACCAAGGAUGUUUUCAUUAA
rnacentral:rRNA from 1 species